rnacentral:lncRNA from 1 species
GAGCUCACUGAGGCCACGCCAGGCAGGGGGGCUCGGGCACCGCCUUCACCUCCUGCCAAGAUCCUUGAGUUUCACUAAGAGCCUCCUUGCUGUCAGCGUGCCCCUGCGAGGGGCCCUGCCGGCGUGACGAGGCAGUCCGGCCUCUGGGUCAGCCUUCUUGGCCAGAUGACUUGCAGGUGACCAGGGCUGUAGAGGGGCAGCUGAGGCAGCAGGGAGGGAGGCCGCUGGGGACCCCAAGCACUGGCUCUGGCCCGUAUGGGUCCUCAGGUGGAUGGUUCAGCCAGAGGCACCAUGGCUGCCUGGAGACUGCGGAGCUGGGAGCAGGGACUAGGCAGGGGUCGGGCUGAGCUCACAGGGAUCUUUGCUUAUCCAGGGGGAGAGGUUUUCUGCAGGAAGACUUAGGACUGCGAGUGGGGCUUGGAUUUUUGGGAUUCCAGCCCGGGAGGGUGGCUUCCUGUGAGUCCUGGGCCACUCCUUGGGUAGCCCACAUGCCCCAUUUUAUGCGGCCGUUAAGACAUCUGGACUCUGUCCCAUGGCUGCUGGAGGCAUCUGCCUGCCUCUCCCGUCUGUCUCUCCUGUCCUGUCUCUGGGACAAGAGGGGGUUGGGGUAGCGGCCUGCGCAGUCUCUAAUAGCAGGGAGGGUCCCCAGGGCACCCUCCCCUCAGCCUCCAGGAAUAAGUGCAUCAGCUUCCCCUCCUCCCUACCCCGGGGCCUCGAGGUGGGGCCCCCAAGAUUGUUUUCGGCUCAG